UAGGGAAUCUUCCGCAAUGGACGAAAGUCUGACGGAGCAACGCCGCGUGAGUGAAGAAGGAUUUCGGUUCGUAAAACUCUGUUGUUAGGGAAGAAAAAAUGUAUAGUAACUAUAUACAAAAGAGACGGUACCUAACCAGAAAGCCACGGCUAACUACGUGCCAGCAGCCGCGGUAAUACGUAAGGGGCGAGCGUUGUCCGGAAUUAUUGGGCGUAAAGAGUGCGUAGGCGGCAAAUUAAGUCAGAUGUGAAAACUAAGGGCUCAACCCAUAGAUUGCAUCUGAAACUGAUAUGCUUGAGUCAAGGAGAGGAAAGUGGAAUUCCUAGUGUAGCGGUGGAAUGCGUAGAUAUUAGGAGGAAUACCGGUGGCGAAGGCGACUUUCUGGACUUGAACUGACGCUGAGGCACGAAAGCGUGGGGAGCAAACAGG
rnacentral:rRNA from 1 species